ACCUACUUGGAGAAAUUGGUAGACUCAAAUGACUUAAAAUUGUUUACACUUAGUGUGUGAGGGUUCAAAUCCCUCAGUAGGUA
rnacentral:tRNA from 3 species